UGCAAAUUAUCUUUGACCACAUCUUUUCCAUGUGAAUUUUAAUUGACCAGCAUUAAAUAGUGGUUUUAUAAUUCGAUAGAAGAAAACCAACAUAAUAUAUAGAAGUAGGACUGAGAAAUAAGAUAUGGUAAAAUGACAUUAAAACGCAAAAUUGAAAAAUAAAAGAAUGAGGUAGACAGGAAAAUAUGAUAUAAUUCGUCUACUGGAAUAAAAAGAAAUAAAAAUUCACAAUGUGUAAAACAUUGAUAAAAU
rnacentral:lncRNA from 1 species